rnacentral:rRNA from 1 species
GUCUUCUCGUGAAUUUUUGAGAAGUCGGACCUGCCCAGUGACUAGUUUGUUUAACGGCCGCGGUAUACUGACUGUGCAAAGGUAGCAUAAUCAUUAGUUCUUUAAUAGGGAACUGGUAUGAAUGGUUUGACGAAACAAUAGCUGUCUCAGCUUUAUUUUUAAAAUUUAUCUUUUAGGUUAAAAGACUUAAAUUUAGUUGGAAGACGAGAAGACCCUAUAGAGCUUUAUAUGUUUUUUGUAUAUUUUUUAUUAUUAAAUCUAUUUAAACUGCUUAUUUUGUUGGGGUGAUUAUUAAAUAUAAAUAACUUUAUUAUUAAUUUUCCAUUUAUUUAUGAUUUGUUAGAUCCUUUAUUAUUGAUUAUUAGAUUAAGUUACCUUAGGGAUAACAGCGUUAUUUUCUUUUAGAGUUCAAAUUCACAAGAAAGAUUGCGACCUCGAUGUUGGAUUAAGAUAAUAGUUUGGUGCAGAAGCUUAACUAAUAGGUCUGUUCGACCUUUAAAUUCUUACAUGAUCUGAGUUCAAACCGG